UACAGAGGUCCCGAGCGUUGUUCGGAUUCACUGGGCGUAAAGGGUGCGUAGGUGGCGAGGUAAGUCGGAUGUGAAAGCUCGGAGCUCAACUCCGAAAUGGCAUUGGAAACUACCUUGCUCGAGGGUUGGAGGGGGGACUGGAAUUCUCGGUGUAGCAGUGAAAUGCGUAGAUAUCGAGAGGAACACCAGUGGCGAAGGCGAGUCCCUGGACAACUCCUGACACUGAGGCACGAAAGCUAGGGGAGCAAACGGG
rnacentral:rRNA from 1 species